AUUGAACGCAGGCGGCAUGCUUUACACAUGCAAGUCGAACGGUAACAGGCCGCAAGGUGCUGACGAGUGGCGAACGGGUGAGUAAUGCAUCGGAACGUGCCCAGUCGUGGGGGAUAACGCAGCGAAAGCUGCGCUAAUACCGCAUACGAUCCAUGGAUGAAAGCGGGGGACCGUAAGGCCUCGCGCGAUUGGAGCGGCCGAUGUCAGAUUAGGUAGUUGGUGGGGUAAAGGCUCACCAAGCCGACGAUCUGUAGCUGGUCUGAGAGGACGACCAGCCACACUGGGACUGAGACACGGCCCAGACUCCUACGGGAGGCAGCAGUGGGGAAUUUUGGACAAUGGGCGCAAGCCUGAUCCGGCAAUGCCGCGUGCAGGAAGAAGGCCUUCGGGUUGUAAACUGCUUUUGUACGGAACGAAACGGCUCUGGUUAAUACCUGGGGCUAAUGACGGUACCGUAAGAAUAAGCACCGGCUAACUACGUGCCAGCCGCCGCAGUAACAC
rnacentral:rRNA from 1 species